rnacentral:rRNA from 1 species
GAUGAACGCUGGCGGCGUGCCUAAUACAUGCAAGUCGAGCGAACAGACGAGGAGCUUGCUCCUCUGACGUUAGCGGCGGACGGGUGAGUAACACGUGGAUAACCUACCUAUAAGACUGGGAUAACUUCGGGAAACCGGAGCUAAUACCGGAUAAUAUAUUGAACCGCAUGGUUCAAUAGUGAAAGACGGUUUUGCUGUCACUUAUAGAUGGCUCCGCGCCGCAUUAGCUAGUUGGUAAGGUAACGGCUUACCAAGGCAACGAUGCGUAGCCGACCUGAGAGGGUGAUCGGCCACACUGGAACUGAGACACGGUCCAGACUCCUACGGGAGGCAGCAGUAGGGAAUCUUCCGCAAUGGGCGAAAGCCUGACGGAGCAACGCCGCGUGAGUGAUGAAGGUCUUCGGAUCGUAAAACUCUGUUAUUAGGAAAGAACAAAUGUGUAAGUAACUAUGCACGUCUUGACGGUACCUAAUCAGAAAGCCACGGCUAACUACGUG